rnacentral:rRNA from 1 species
UGGGGAAUAUUGGACAAUGGGGGGAACCCUGAUCCAGCCAUGCCGCGUGUGUGAAGAAGGCCUUAUGGUUGUAAAGCACUUUAAGCGAGGAGGAGGGUACUGGUAUUAAUACUACCAGGUACUGGACGUUACUCGCAGAAUAAGCACCGGCUAACUCUGUGCCAGCAGCCGCGGUAAUACAGAGGGUGCGAGCGUUAAUCGGAUUUACUGGGCGUAAAGCGUGCGUAGGCGGCUAAUUGAGUCGGAUGUGAAAUCCCCGAGCUUAACUUGGGAAAUGCAUUCGAUACUGGUUAGCUAGAGUGUGGGAGAGGAUGGUAGAAUUCCAGGUGUAGCGGUGAAAUGCGUAGAGAUCUGGAGGAAUACCGAUGGCGAAGGCAGCCAUCUGGCCUAACACUGACGCUGAGGUACGAAAGCAUGGGGAGCAAACAGG